CCUGCCCCUAGAGGCAUUGCAGGUGUGGCUGCUGUGUCACAUGUGUGUCAGUAGGUGGCAGAAAGGAAAGAGGCAAUGUCUACAGUCAGUGUUCUAACCUAUGGACAUCUGAUUAGUAGCCUACAAGU